rnacentral:rRNA from 1 species
AGAUUGAACGCUAGCGGGAUGCUUUACACAUGCAAGUCGAACGGCAGCGCGGACUUCGGUCUGGCGGCGAGUGGCGAACGGGUGAGUAAUAUAUCGGAACGUGCCCAGUAGCGGGGGAUAACGUACGCGAAAGCGUGGCUAAUACCGCAUACGCCCUACGGGGGAAAGGGGGGAUCGGCAAGACCGUCUCACUAUUGGAGCGGCCGAUAUCAGAUUAGCUAGUUGGUGAGGUAAAGGCUCGACCAAGGCGACGGAUCUGUAGCUGGUUUCGAGAGGACGACCAGGCCACACUGGGACUGAGACACGGCCCAGACCUCCGUACGGGAGGCAGCAGGUGGGGAACUUUGGGACUAGUGGGGGAAACCCUGGAACUCCGAGCCAUCCCGCGUGUGCGAUGAACGGUCCGUUCGGGUUGUAAGUCGUACGUUUU